AACGGGUGAGUAACACGUAAGCAACCUGCCCUUAAGACGAGGAUAACAAUUGGAAACAGUUGCUAAGACUGGAUAGGAAAAGUGAAGGCAUCUUUACUUUUUUAAAAGACCUUCUUUGAAGGUAUGCUUAAGGAGGGGCUUGCGACACAUUAGUUAGUUGGCAGGGUAAAGGCCUACCAAGACUAUGAUGUGUAGCUGGACUGAGAGGUUGAACAGCCACAUUGGGACUGAGACACGGCCCAAACUCCUACGGGAGGCAGCAGUAGGGAAUUUUCGGCAAUGGAGGAAACUCUGACCGAGCAACGCCGCGUGAACGAUUAAGUACCUCGGUAUGUAAAGUUCUUUUAUUAAGGAAGAAAAAAGAGUGGAAAAACUCCCUUGACGGUACUUAAUGAAUAAGCCCCGGCUAAUUAUGUGCCAGCAGCCGCGGUAAUACAUAAGGGGCGAGCGUUAUCCGGAAUUAUUGGGCGUAAAGGGUGCGUAGGCGGUUUAAUAAGUCUAUAGUUUAAUUUCAGCGCUUAACGCUGUUGUGCUAUAGAAACUGUUUUACUAGAGCAAGAUAGAGGCAAGCGGAAUUCCAUGUGUAGCGGUAAAAUGCGUAAAUAUAUGGAGGAACACCAGAGGCGUAGGCGGCUUGCUGGGUCUUUACUGACGCUGAGGCACGAAAGCGUGGGGAGCAAACAGGAUUAGAUACCCUGGUAGUCCACGCCGUAAACGAUGAGUACUAAGUGUCGGGUAAAACCGGUACUGAAGUUAACACAUUAAGUACUCCGCCUGAGUAGUACGUACGCAAGUAUGAAACUUAAAGGAAUUGACGGGACUCCGCACAAGCGGUGGAUCAUGUUGUUUAAUUCGAAGAUACACGAAAAACCUUACCAGGUCUUGACAUUUUCUUGCGAAGUUAUAGAAAUAUAAUGGAGGUUAUCAGGAAAACAGGUGGUGCAUGGUUGUCGUCAGCUCGUGUCGUGAGAUGUUAGGUUAAGUCCUAAAACGAGCGCAACCCUUGUCGUUAAUUGCCAGCAUGUAAUGAUGGGGACUUUAACGAGACUGCCAAUGAAAAAUUGGAGGAAGGUGGGGAUUACGUCAAAUCAUCAUGCCCCUUAUGAUCUGGGCUACAAACGUGAUACAAUGGUUGAUACAAAGAGUAGCUGAAACGCGAGUUCUUAGCCAAUCUCACAAAAUCAAUCUCAGUUCGGAUUGAAGUCUGCAACUCGACUUCAUGAAGUUGGAAUCGCUAGUAAUCGUGAAUCAGCAUGUCACGGUGAAUACGUUCUCGGGGUUUGUACACACCGCCCGUCAAACCACGAAAGUUGGCAAUACCCCAAAGCGGUCGCCUAACUUCGCAAGAAGAAGGAUCCGUCUAAGGUAGGGUCGAUAAUUGGGGUUAAGUCGUAA
rnacentral:rRNA from 1 species